UAUACCCGGUUAACAACCGGGUUUGUUCAUAAUGCCCAAAACGUUUGUGAGUCCGUGUCUUCUGCCUUCUCUCUCUCGUUAUGAACUACUGCAGAACUGAGAAACCCUAACCUCCCUCCGUGAGCGCAGUCUCUCUCUCGCCGUUGCCGCUGCCGCUGGCCGGACUUCGUUCAAUAAGUCUCUCUAUCUCUCACUUCGAUAGCCCUCUCUCUCUCUCUCUCUCUAUCUCGAUCUCGAUCUAUGAUCAGUGCCUUGGGUAGAAAGUUUAUGCUAUUAUUUUGCUAGAUCGGCUAUUUUUGCUCCGUCUCUAUCUCUAUUUUGUUAGAUCUGCUAUUUUUUGGGUUGUGAAAAAAUAAUUUUUCGCUAGAUCUGUUCUCUUUGUUUUUAAACGUGGGGAUUUUUUUUGGGUUUGUUUCGUUCUAUGAUCAAUGCCUUUAAACAAAUCUGAUGUGGGUAUUAAUUAUAUGUUCUGAUUUUGUUAGAUCUGCUAUAUGGCAGUGCUCUGCAUCUUGUUUUGAUAUAGCGUCUUUCUUUCGCUUUGUAAAGUGUAAAUGUUAUGCAAUCAUGUCUGUAAUAAUCCCUUGUGUCAUCUUGUCAAAUAUUUGAAAGGGAUUUUUGAUCAUGAGGAUUCACUUUCUUAUGUGUGCCAUUUGAUCAUUAUCACUUGAUGUGAAUAUUGAACUGUGUACACUAUUACCCAUGCAAAUACAUCAAGUCAUUUCCAGAGAAGGAGGAUAUGCUUCAGGAAUCUUUCAUUCGUAUUAAAUCAAUUGAAUAUGACUUGCAGAAGACAAAGAAAGCACUGCUUGCAACUGCAUCAAAGCAAGUGGAGCUUGCUGACUCACUGGAAAGUUUAAAGGUGACCAGCUUAACGCGGCAGGGGACAAGCUCUUGUUGGCCAAGAAUCAAAUCUUAUACGCCAGGAAGAUGAAUAAAUUGUUUCGUGAGACAGCUUUGCCAAACCUGCUGCUCCCUAUUGACUCUCAAAAUUGCAGUAACUUCCGCUAAGUUCAAUCGGCACUCGAAGGUUCUCAUUUUAGGUGACUGUCACUUCUAACAUUUUUUAGGCACUCACACUCAUUUCCAACUUUCUCAGAUUUCUUUGAAUGUAGUUAUCCACCAAGCAGAGAAAACAGCAAAGCCAUUGAAUCCAGUUCUCUUAAGAUAGACAGGCAGUCCUGUACAUAAUACUUUAUACAAAUAUAUUACUCGAGUAUAGAAACAUCAUAUUCCUUUCAAAUAUUAGAUUUCUGUAGGAUAUUUCAAGAUGCAGCAUGCCGAAGAAUUCUCUUAAGAUUUGAGAAUGUUUUGUGCUAGGAUAGUCUAGGCAAUAAUAUAAUGCCCUCUAAAAAAUUAGAUAUAUGCUCAUUUGUCAAUUUUUGAUCUAGAACCAAUACCUUGAUUAAUGUGCAUCUUUUUCCCUACAUCAUUUUUUGCUAUUGAUGCUCACUUCCCUUGGUACUUUAUCAAUGAGUAGAAUUUGAUAUUGCCAUCUUUUGCAGGGUUAAAGGUUCCUUUCAACAUUUUGAGACUACAUCUUUAUCUAUACUAUUAUUGGACUUCUGAAGAGCAAUGUCAACUUUUAUAGUCCUUUGAGUGUAGUGGUAAAAGGAAUGUUCUUACCAAAUUAGUUGUUGUGUAUUGGACUUUAAUUAGAGCAAUGUAUGUGUUUUGUAAUGAUCUAAGCAAAUCAGUUCAAAUGUAAUAUGUAGUUGAUUUUUUUUUCUUUUUAGGUUAAUUAGUUGUUUAUAGCGGUAGCUGAUAUGCAUGUAUUAAUUAUAAUUAGUUGAUAUUUUUAUCAUCA